CUCGAAGAAAGUACAAUGUAAAACGCGAUGUGCAGGACGAAUUAGAACCAGACGAAUUAGAACCGAUGAGAAGAUGAAGGCAUCUCAUAACGCUAGGUCAAAGAUUUUCAUCAAGUUAUUGUCGAGCUGACGACUUCGUCACAUUAUUUAACUCCGAUUGCAAUUAUCCUCAAAGAUGGCCUGAUAUGCGACACGUGAUGCGAGUAGAUGUACGAUGAUUGCAGUGCUAGUAUAAGUGCAUAUGUACACGCG